rnacentral:rRNA from 1 species
UACGUAGGUGGCAAGCGUUGUCCGGAUUUACUGGGCGUAAAGAGCGCGCAGGCGGUCGUUCAAGUCGCGUGUGAAAGCCCCCGGCUCAACUGGGGAGGGUCACGCGAUACUGAUCGACUCGAAGGCAGGAGAGGGAAGUGGAAUUCCCGGUGUAGUGGUGAAAUGCGCAGAUAUCGGGAGGAACACCAGUGGCGAAGGCGGCGCUCUGGGCUGGUACUGACGCUGAGGAGCGAAAGCGGGU